AUUGAACGCUGGCGGCGUGCCUAACACAUGCAAGUCGAGCGGUAACAGGUGUAGCAAUACAUGCUGACGAGCGGCGGACGGGUGAGUAACGCUUGGGAAUCUGCCUAUUAGUGGGGGACAACCCGGGGAAACUCGGGCUAAUACCGCAUACGCUCUACGGAGGAAAGCCGGGACCGCAAGGCCUGGCGCUAAUAGAUGAGCCCAAGUCGGAUUAGCUAGUUGGUAGGGUAAUGGCCUACCAAGGCGACGAUCCGUAACCUGGUCUGAGAGGACGACCAGUCACACCGGAACUGAGACACGGUCCGGACUCCUACGGGAGGCAGCAGUGGGGAAUAUUGGACAAUGGGCGAAAGCCUGACGCAGCGACGCCGCGUGAGGGAUGACGGCCUCGGUUGU
rnacentral:rRNA from 1 species